AAGAGUUUUUCUAAGCAAUGUCACAUUAUUAAUUUCCAUCUUUAUCCAGGUAGGGAACAGACUCUCCAGAUCUGCUCUUUCUGAACAAAGUGAGUUCCUGGCAUUUUUGAAGUCUCAUGAAUGGGUCAAGGUCAGCUGUGGAGGAUCCUUCAGCGUUCCAUACAUGGUAAUGGGAAUAUCCACAUUGCUCUACAGUUCGCUGCCAUGAUUUAAAUUCGAUCUA
rnacentral:lncRNA from 1 species